UACGAGGGGUCCUAGCGUUGUUCGGAAUUAUUGGGCGUAAAGAGUAUGUAGGCGGCCAUACAAGUCCAGUUGUGAAAGCCCCGGGCUCAACCUGGAAGUGCUUCUGAUACUGCAUGGCUUGAAUAUUGGAGAGGAUAGUAGAAUUCCAGGUGUAGUGGUGAAAUGCAUAGAUAUUGGAGGAACACCAGUGGCGAAGGCGGCUCACUGGACUGGUACUGACGCUGAUGCGCGAAAGCGUGGGAGCAAACAGG
rnacentral:rRNA from 1 species